rnacentral:rRNA from 1 species
UACGGAGGGUGCAAGCGUUAUCCGGAUUCACUGGGUUUAAAGGGUGCGUAGGUUGCUUGGUAAGUCAGUGGUGAAAUACUCCGACUCAAUCGGAGAACUGCCGUUGAUACGAUCAAUCUUGAAUAUGGUGGAGGCGGGCGGAAUGCGUCAUGUAGUGGUGAAAUACUUAGAUAUGACGCAGAACACCCAUUGCGAAGGCAGCUCGCUACGCCAUUAUUGACACUGAGGCACGAAAGCGUGGGGAGCAAACAGG